GCUAUGGCCAUAGACUUAUAGAUUUAACUUUUCAAAUCCCAUAGGACUACUCCUUAUCUACUAAGAUCGAUAAAUUUCUUAUAAGUACACAUCUUACUCCUACAAUAAACUUAUUAUAGCCAUCAUACACUACAAGGAUCUAAAUGGCUAGGAGAUCAUGUUUAUAUACAGUUAAACUACAGCAACCCCACCGUGAACGGUUGAGGCAUCGUCGAUCAAGAAACCACUCACACCACU
rnacentral:lncRNA from 1 species